AAACUGGAAGGGUUUCGGCUGCGCAUGUGCAGGAUAGGUGGGAGGCUUUGAAGCGGAGGCGCCAGCCUUCGUGGAGUCAACCUUGACAUACCACCCUUGUUCAGUUGAAAUUCUAACCUCGUGCCCUGAAUCGGGUGCAGGAACAGUGCCAGGGGGCCAGUUUGACUGGGGCGGUCGCCUCCCAAACAGUAACGGAGGCACGCAAAGGUUCCCUCAGCAUGGUCGGUAAUCAUGCGUCGAGUGCAAAGGCAUAAGGGAGCUUAACUGCAAGACAAACAAGUCGAGCAGAUGCGAAAGCAGGUCUUAGUGAUCCGGCGGUUGGAAAUGGAACUGCCGUCGCUCAAUGGAUAAAAGGUACUCUAGGGAAAACAAGGCUGAAA
rnacentral:rRNA from 1 species